rnacentral:lncRNA from 1 species
GUAGGCUGAAAUUACAAAGCAACAAUUAAAAGUUGGAUCACUGGUUACCUUGAGUUAGCCAUGUUUACCUUAGUAAUGCUGGAUCUCAAUGCUUUGUGGGAAAAAAAGAAGAAAAUGAGCCUUCAUCAUGGAUGUCCAGAAAAUUAACAGAUGACAACGGAUACCCUCUCCAUGAGGUUUGCUGCAUGCCAGACACUGUGCAAAGAGCUUUACGUGCAUUGUCUCAUUUAUUUUUGCCACAACUGUGUGAGUCAGCUUUACUGAAGUUCAAUGCAUAUCACCUGUUACUAUAGAAAUGUAGUCUCAAGUCACAUCUCAUCAUAUUACUCACAUGUUAUCCUUGUUUCUGGACCCAAAAUUUUAUACUGGACAGAUCAGGUUAAAAGGAACCAACAAAGACCAGCAGAAGUAAACAAGUCCCAAAGGGCAGGCUGGUAUGUAUCUGAACCUGAUUAGGCAAUGCUCUAUUCAUUCCAACUGGUGGCACAGAUUGGGUGGAAAUGGAGGGAUCCGGAAUCAGAGCUGUCACCUGGGAAGAAUGAAUCUAUAGAGACAGCCAGAUCUGGCCUUCAGAUGCUUGACAAUUCCACAGUUCUCUUCACACCAAACCUCAGUGCUAUUAACUGCUCAGCCAGCAGAAGAGGUGAAGAGGAGAAGCAGCAGGAUGUCAUAGACUACGGUUGGACAUGGAGAGAAGCAGCUUGACUUCAUAGGGUCAUCUUGAUGGCAUUGCUUCAGAGAGGAGUCCAGCUGGGAAUGGCCAGAUUCUGGAGAAAGAUGAACUUCCUGCUCUGUCCCCUUUCAGCUUCCCUUCCUGCUGAGUGCCACUUUAAUCAGCAAUAAAAUCCCCCACAUUUACUAUCUC